GAGCGAGAGAACUCUCGUUAAGGAACUCGGCAAAAUGACCCCGUAACUUCGGGAGAAGGGGUGCUCUAUUAGGGUGCAAGCCCGAGAGAGCCGCAGUGAAUAGGCCCAGGCGACUGUUUAGCAAAAACACAGGUCUCUGCAAAACCGUAAGGUGACGUAUAGGGGCUGACGCCUGCCCGGUGCUGGAAGGUUAAGAGGAGUGCUUAGCUUCGGCGAAGGUACGAAUUGAAGCCCCAGUAAACGGCGGCCGUAACUAUAACGGUCCUAAGGUAGCGAAAUUCCUUGUCGGGUAAGUUCCGACCCGCACGAAAGGCGCAACGAUCUGGGCACUGUCUCAACGAGAGACUCGGUGAAAUUAUAGUACCUGUGAAGAUGCAGGUUACCCGCGACAGGACGGAAAGACCCCGUGGAGCUUUACUGCAACCUGAUAUGGAAUGUUUGUACCGCUUGUACAGGAUAGGUAGGAGCCGAAGAGACGUGUGCGCUAGCAUACGAGGAGGCAAUGGUGGGAUACUACCCUGGCUGUAUGACCAUUCUAACCCGCCACGCUUAGCGCGUGGGGAGACAGUGUCAGGUGGGCAGUUUGACUGGGGCGGUCGCCUCCUAAAGAGUAACGGAGGCGCCCAAAGGUUCCCUCAGAAUGGAUGGAAAUCAUUCGCAGAGUGUAAAGGCACAAGGGAGCUUGACUGCGAGACUGACAAGUCGAGCAGGGACGAAAGUCGGGCUUAGUGAUCCGGUGGUUCCG
rnacentral:rRNA from 1 species